CCUUGUGUCAUUUUUCUGCUCAUGUUUCUAUUUUCCCUAGAUUCGUUUGCAUUAUUUCUCAUUAGUGAUUGUGUUAUAUGGUCCCCUAUAAGAAGGAAGAAAUGUAGAGCUGCACCACAUCCAGCUCUCUGGCUUGAUCUUGAGGAAUAUUUGCUACUCAUCUUUCAGCUGCAUCAGCUAACCAUAUUUGACCACAUUGUAUGGCCUUGCUUUUCUUUGCUACAUGGGGGAACCACAUCAGGUCUGCUGCUUGAGGAGCCUCAGCACCUGCAGAGGAGAACAUAUGAGUUUGGCCUGGAUGAAUACAUCGCUGAUUGAGAAGUGUCAGAAAACAUUUGGAUGAGGUUCUGCAAAACUUUUAUAGCCUUAAUGGAACAGGAUUGAAAUCCAACGCUGACGGCACAUAGCCCCACCUCUGCCAAUAUCAGAUCAAUAUGGAUUUUCAAGAGAAAUCCUCAAAGCCAUGCUUUGUGCCUCAUGAAGCCCGUGUGAUGGCUCAGGUGCAGGGAUGGAGCUGCACCAAUAUUUAUAGCAGAAGGCUGCUAAUGCUACAUUGUGUGACAGCCAAUAAAUCUUCUCUUUGAAUGAAUGCUGCA
rnacentral:lncRNA from 1 species